GAUGAAGAACGCAGCGAAAUGCGAUACGUAAUGUGAAUUGCAGAAUUCAGUGAAUCAUCGAAUCUUUGAACGCAUAUUGCGCUCUUUGGUAUUCCGAAGAGCAUGCUUGUUUGAGUAUCAGUAAACACCUCAAAACUUUUGAUUUUUUUUAAAAAAAAAAGGUUUUUGACUUGAGCAAUCCCAAACCCAAUCUUUUUUAGAUCGGUGGAGGGUUGCUUGAAAUGCAGGUGCAGCUGGACAUUCUCCUGAGCUAAAAGCAUAUUUAUUUAGUCCCGUCAAACGGAUUAUUACUUUUGCUGCAGCUAAUAUAAAGGGAGUUUGACCGUAUUGGCUGACUGAUGCAGGAUUUCACAAGGGUCGGCAACGAUUCUUGUAAAACUCGAUCUCAAAUCAAGUAAGACUACCCGCUGAACUUAAGCAUAUCAAUAAGCGGAGGA
rnacentral:misc_RNA from 1 species